GCAGAAGACAGACUUGCAGUGGGCUUGUUUUAGUUCUAGCAGCGAGACAACCCUUUUUCGGCUGUGAAUUGAGGUCAGUGGUUAAAUCUAGUACCAGCCACAGUUUUGGCAAUGGGUGCAUCCUCGACAAAUUAACGACAAAGUAUACGGAUUUGGGACUUUGAUUCGAGACGAGU